AAGGGAGGGCGGGAUCAGUGAAAACCACGUGAUCAUCCACGAGUGCGGUGCAGAGUCGCUGAGAAAACCGGAACGGCAGAUGCUGGAGAAUCCGAGAUAACACGGUGUGCAGCUGGAUGUACACAGCAGGUCAAGCAGCAUCAGAGGAGCAGGAAAGCUGACGUUUCGGGCCUAGAUCCCUCGCUGAGACCAAGAUUUGUGCAAUUGAGAUACCAGCGAUCGUUGCCAAAGCCCUGUUACCUGUGGAGAAGGUGAUGUUUAACUUUCGUGUGCUACUGCAGUUUGUAUGAUAAAGGAUAUUACAAGUGGACUUUCAGGUAGGAAGCUCAAUAAUUGUAACACCAAACUCUGACAGAAUUACUCAAUUCAAUCAGGACCUGGAUAUUCGCAUUGUGUAUUUCCACAAUUUUACUUCUGCACUGCUCUUACUCUUUCAGAGGGAUUGAAAGGUGGAGUUACAGAUCUAUACAAUGACUGUCCUUCCUCGCUGGCUCUCCCAAUUCUCUCUUUUGGUAGUUUGAUGCAAACACUGACUGGAUCCCUUACCUGGAGGAUAUUUAUGAAUGAAUUUGUUCUAAUGGUGAUCCAGCAUAUUCCCCAAGUGUUGCUGUACACAUGUCCAGAGAAUUUCUCAGUUUCACAAUCUGUGUCCUUCUGGUUUCUUACUUACUUUCUCUUUGAAAGUAUAGUCUGCAGUUGGAGAAUUUAAACAGGCCCACAUCCAGGUCUGACGGUCACUUUGUUUAUCACAACCCAAUUUUCUCAGGAUUUUGAACAUUGAAGGAAAAAGCAGCACUCACAUUGGGGAGAAAUGCACAUGGUGUGUGUGUUGAAGAGUCUGUGAAGAUUCAUCUGAAAUGUCCAAACACCAGUGCAGUGACACUGGGAGACAGUGUGGAAAUGUGCAGAUUGCAGGAAGGAAUUUCUUCAUCCAUCCCAGCUAGAAACUGACCACCAGAGUCACACUGGAGAGAGACCAUUGACCUGUUCUGCGUGAGGGAAAGGCUUUGCUGACUCGAAUUCCCCGCUGAUACACCAGCGAGUUCACUCUGGGGAGAGACCUUUCAUGAGCUCUGUGUGGGAAGGGAUUCAUUGUCAUCCAAACUGUUAACACACCAGCGAGUUCGCAGACAACCACAGUUGAAGAACAUUGCUGUCACUCUCACUAUCAAAUAAACCAUGGUGUUGGGCUGUUUGUACAGAUGUUACCGAUACCUGCUCAAUUAAAGGUGCUGGUAUUGUGAAUAAAAUGUCACACUAACAGUUGUGUAAGGUAGAGCUUGGAAAUAGUCACGUUGUCACAACACAUCGACACAUUCACACUGACUAAAGCCUAUCCACCUGCAUGAUAUGUGAAAAGGGAUUUCCUGGUACAUUCCUGGUUCCUGGUUAACGACCAGCAAAUUUCUGAAUAAGUUGAUUGGUUUGAAUAUAGCUAACAGUAGAAUCAAAAAUAGUAUCAGUGAUAAUGGGAACUGCAGAUGCUGGAGAAUCCAAGAUAACAAAAAGUGUGGAGCUGGAUGAACAUAGCAGGCCAAGCAGCAUCUCAGGAGCACAAAAGCUGACUUUUCGGGCCUAGAGAAGGGUCAAGGCCUGAAACGUCAGCUUUUGUGCUCCUGAGAUGCUGCUUGGCCUGCUGUGUUCAUCCAGCUCCACACUUUGUUAUAGUCGAUUCAAAAACCAUGUGUUUUGGGCUUGUUUCUGGAGAUCAUAGAAUCCCUCCACUGUGGGAGCAGACCACUUAGCCCAUCAAGUCCGCACUGACCUGACGAAGAUUGUCUUACCCAGACACUGUCUGCGUGAGUUUCCUCCAGAUGCUCUGGUUUCCUCCCACAGUCCAAAAAUGUGCAAAUUAUGUAGAUUCACUAUGCUAAAUUGCCCAUAGUAUCUUGUGUGCAAAAUGCAGGGAUAGGGUAGGGUGUGAGACUGGUUGGGAUGCUCUUUGCAGGGUUGAUAUUGACUGAAUGGCCAUCUUCCACACUGUAGGAAUUCUGUGAUGAUCUCGAUGGCCCUUUAUUUGUUAGAUAGGUCUGCACACCUUUACAAUGACAGAUUCUGUUGCUCUCCCACAGACAUUUGUUUAUUGGAAACAAUGUAAUCUUUCAGUUUGUGGAUAAAAAUCAAAGGAAUGUUUUAAAUCCAAACAUAGGAUUGGGUUGAGUCAUGUCCUAUAAUCCCUGAUUUGCAUUUUCCCCGUCGGCUAUGAAACCUGGUGACCGCUGUGACUCUGCCUGGGAGCAUUGCAGUCUCGUCAGCUCUUUACCUGGUGUCCAUAGCAGUGAUGGAUCUCAUGACGGAAACAUAAACCAAAACAUUGUGUGAUUUCUAGUACAUAUUUUCUACUUAGUCUUCUGUCCAUCACUUCCCUAGAGGCUGAGAUACUGGUCUGGGGACCUAGGUGUGAAUCCAUCUGGAAAUAAGAAUGUGAUGAUGACUGUCAAUCCAUUGCCUUUGUUGGAAAAACCCAUCUGUUCACCGAUGGCCUACAGGGAAGGAAACUGCCAUUCUUAUCCAGUGAUGUGAUCAUCCCAUGAAUGAAUUUUUUAAAAAAAUUAAAAACUCCUGCAAAUACGUUAAA